UACGUAGGUGGCAAGCGUUGUCCGGAAUUAUUGGGCGUAAAGCGCGCGCAGGCGGUCCUUUAAGUCUGAUGUGAAAGCCCACGGCUCAACCGUGGAGGGUCAUUGGAAACUGGGGGACUUGAGUGCAGAAGAGGAGAGUGGAAUUCCACGUGUAGCGGUGAAAUGCGUAGAGAUGUGGAGGAACACCAGUGGCGAAGGCGACUCACUGGCCCGGUACUGACGCUGAGGUGCGAAAGCGUGGGGAGCAAACAGG
rnacentral:rRNA from 1 species